UGGGGAAUAUUGGACAAUGGGCGAAAGCCUGAUCCAGCAAUGCCGCGUGAGUGAUGAAGGCCUUAGGGUUGUAAAGCUCUUUUACCCGGGAUGAUAAUGACAGUACCGGGAGAAUAAGCCCCGGCUAACUCCGUGCCAGCAGCCGCGGUAAUACGGAGGGGGCUAGCGUUAUUCGGAAUUACUGGGCGUAAAGCGCACGUAGGCGGCUUUGUAAGUCAGAGGUGAAAGCCUGGAGCUCAACUCCAGAACUGCCUUUGAGACUGCAUCGCUUGAAUCCAGGAGAGGUGAGUGGAAUUCCGAGUGUAGAGGUGAAAUUCGUAGAUAUUCGGAAGAACACCAGUGGCGAAGGCGGCUCACUGGACUGGUAUUGACGCUGAGGUGCGAAAGCGUGGGGAGCAAACA
rnacentral:rRNA from 1 species